AACGCGAAGAACCUUACCUGGGCUCGAAAUGCUACGGACCAGCUUAUGAAAGUUUGCCUUCCCGCAAGGGACCGUAGUAUAGGUGCUGCAUGGCUGUCGUCAGCUCGUGUCGUGAGAUGUUGGGUUAAGUCCCGCAACGAGCGCAACCCUUGUCCUGUGUUGCCAUACCGAAAGGUGGAACUCGCAGGAGACCGCCAGGGAUAACCUGGAGGAAGGUGGGGAUGACGUCAAGUCCUCAUGGCCUUUAUGUCCAGGGCUACACACGUGCUACAAUGGACGGUACAAAGGGCUGCCAACCCGCGAGGGGGAGCCAAUCCCAAAAAACCGUUCUCAGUUCGGAUUGCAGGCUGCAACUCGCCUGCAUGAAGCUGGAAUCGCUAGUAAUGGCGGAUCAGAACGCCGCCGUGAAUACGUUCCCGGGCCUUGUA
rnacentral:rRNA from 1 species